UAGGGAAUCUUCGGCAAUGGGGGGAACCCUGACCGAGCAACGCCGCGUGAGUGAAGAAGGCUCUCGGAUCGUAAAGCUCUGUUGUUAAGGAAGAACGAGUGUGAGAAUGGAAAGUUCAUACUGUGACGGUACUUAACCAGAACGGGACGGCUAACUACGUGCCAGCAGCCGCGGUAAUACGUAGGUCCCGAGCGUUGUCCGGAUUUAUUGGGCGUAAAGCGAGCGCAGGCGGUUAGAUAAGUCUGAAGGUAAAGGCAGUGGCUCAACCAUUGUAGGCUUUGGAAACUGUUGAACUUGAGUGCGGAAGGGGGGAGUGGAAUUCCAUGUGUAGCGGUGAAAUGCGUAGAUAUAUGGAGGAACACCGGUGGCGAAAGCGGCUCUCUGGUCUGUAACUGACGAUGAGGCUCGAAAGCGUGGGGAGCGAACAGG
rnacentral:rRNA from 1 species